GCACCAGUGGUCUAGUGGUAGAAUAGUACCUUGCCAUGGUAUAGUCCCGAGUUUGAUUCUCGGCUGGUGCA